CCUACGGUAGGCAGCAGUGAGGAAUAUUGGUCAAUGGGCGCGAGCCUGAACCAGCCAAGUAGCGUGAAGGAUGACUGCCCUACGGGUUGUAAACUUCUUUUAUAAAGGAAUAAAGUGAGGCACUUGUGCCUUUUUGUAUUUACUUUAUGAAUAAGGCUCGGCUAACUCCGUGCCAGCAGCCGCGGUAAUACGUAGGAUGCGAGCGUUAUCCGGAUUUAUUGGGUUUAAAGGGAGCGUAGAUGGGUUGUUAAGUCAGUUGUGAAAGGUUGCGGCUCAACCGUAAAAUUGCAAUUGAUACUGGCAGUCUUGAGUACAGUUGAGGUAGGCGGAAUUCGUGGUGUAGCGGUGAAAUGCUUAGAUAUCACGAAGAACUCCGAUUGCGAAGGCAGCUUACUAAACUGUCACUGACAUUGAUGCUCGAAAGUGUGGGUAUCAAACAGGAUUAGAUACCCGUGUAGUC
rnacentral:rRNA from 1 species